rnacentral:rRNA from 1 species
AACCUGGCAUGACUUAGUAACGGCGAGUGAAGCGGCAAAAGCUCAAAUUUGAAAUCUGGUACCUUCGGUGCCCGAGUUGUAAUUUGGAGAGGGCAACUUUGGGGCCGUUCCUUGUCUAUGUUCCUUGGAACAGGACGUCAUAGAGGGUGAGAAUCCCGUGUGGCGAGGAGUGCGGUUCUUUGUAAAGUGCCUUCGAAGAGUCGAGUUGUUUGGGAAUGCAGCUCUAAGUGGGUGGUAAAUUCCAUCUAAAGCUAAAUAUUGGCGAGAGACCGAUAGCGAACAAGUACAGUGAUGGAAAGAUGAAAAGAACUUUGAAAAGAGAGUGAAAAAGUACGUGAAAUUGUUGAAAGGGAAGGGCAUUUGAUCAGACAUGGUGUUUUGUGCCCUCUGCUCCUUGUGGGUAGGGGAAUCUCGCAUUUCACUGGGCCAGCAUCAGUUUUGGUGGCAGGAUAAAUCCAUAGGAAUGUAGCUUGCCUCGG